ACCCCCUUAGUAUAUAAAUUACACUACUUUUUCAAGGUAACAAUGAGAAACAUUCUCAGGGAGUA
rnacentral:tRNA from 1 species